rnacentral:lncRNA from 1 species
AUGGACAACCCAGCUGGCUCAUGCUCCGUUUUGAUGAGGUUCUGGGAAGCAAGCCAGGAUGUGAACCUCCUGAAAUGCUGCAGGGAUUUCAGGCAAGUUAGCCUUGGCAGUGAGAACAGAUACAAAGAGAGAAGGAGUGGACAGCACUGUAUUUUCUCAUUGUAAAAGCAGGCAGGAUGGAGUAAAAAAUAAAAGUCAAAACAAUUUGAAAACAA